rnacentral:rRNA from 1 species
UCAAAAACAUUUCUAUUAAAUAUAAUUAAUAGUAAAAUCUGCUCAAUGAAAAUUAAAUAGCCGCAACACGUGCUAAGGUAGUAUAAUAACUUGUCUUUUAAUUAAAGACUAAAAUAAAAGAUUUAACAUUUUAAAUAAUUUAAAUAUUUAAAUAUUUAAAUUAUUCUGAUUUUAAAAAGAAAAUCAUAUAUAAAAAAGACGAUAAGACCCUAUUGAACUUAACUCAAGUUAAACUGGGGCAGUUCAUUAAACAUAUCUUAUAUAAAGUAUAUUCACAUAUAGACCUAUUAUAAAUAAAUAAAAAAUCAAGUUACCAUAGGGAUAACAGCGCAACAACUCUUAAAAUUACUAUUUUAAAAGAAAAUUACGACCUCGAUGUUGAAUUAAUUUUCUAGUUCACGCAAUAGUGAAAAAAGAAAGUCUGUUCGACUUUUAAAAAAUUACAUGAUCUGAGUUCAAACCGGAGACCUCGCCUGUUUAUCAAAAA